UACGUAGGUGGCAAGCGUUGUCCGGAAUUAUUGGGCGUAAAGCGCGCGCAGGCGGUCCUUUAAGUCUGAUGUGAAAGCCCACGGCUCAACCGUGGAGGGUCAUUGGAAACUGGGGGACUUGAGUGCAGGAGAGAAGAGUGGAAUUCCACGUGUAGCGGUGAAAUGCGUAGAGAUGCGGAGGAACACCGAUGGCGAAGGCAGCCCCCUGGGCUGAAACUGACGCUCAGGCACGAAAGCGUGGGGAGCAAACAGG
rnacentral:rRNA from 1 species